UAGUUACUAUAGCAAAGAGGAUACACCUGUUCCCAUUCCGAACACAGAAGUUAAGCUCUUUAGCGCCGAUGGUACUUGGUGGGAAGCUGCCUGGGA
rnacentral:rRNA from 1 species